rnacentral:rRNA from 1 species
UACGAAGGGGGCUAGCGUUGUUCGGAAUUACUGGGCGUAAAGCGCACGUAGGCGGGUUGUUAAGUCAGGGGUGAAAUCCCGGAGCUCAACUCCGGAACUGCCUUUGAUACUGGCAAUCUAGAGACUGGAAGAGGUUAGUGGAAUUCCCAGUGUAGAGGUGAAAUUCGUAGAUAUUGGGAAGAACACCAGUGGCGAAGGCGGCUAACUGGUCCACAACUGGACGCUGAGGCGCGAAAGCUAGGGGAGCAAACAGG